rnacentral:tRNA from 1 species
CCAGAACGUAGCUUAAUCACCU